AUGGAACAGGCGGCGUUUACGGGGCCAAACCCGGGACAGCGUUUCCCUUUUGCAACCCGCCCUGGCCCCGGGGCGGCGUUUUUCCACCCUUUUUCCACCCUUUCUUUCACCCUUUUUCCACCCUUUUCACCCUUCCUUUUUCACCCUUUUCCCCCCCCUUUUUCCACCCUUUUUCACCCUUUUCCCCCCCUUUUUUCACCCUUUUCCCCACCCUUUUUCCACCCUUUUCCCGUCCUUUUUCCACCCUUUUUUCACCCUUUUUUCACCCUUUUUUUCACCCUUUUUCCACCCUUUUUCACCCUUUUCCCCCCCUUUUUUCACCCUUUUUUCACCCUUUUUCCGCCCUUUUUCCGCCCUUUUUCCACCCUUUUUCACCCUUUUUUCACCCUUUUCCCACCCUUUUUUCACCCUUUUCCCACCCUUUUCCCGUCCUUUCCCCACCCUUUCCCCCCCCUUUUGUCACCCUUUUUUCACCCUUUUUCCACCCUUUUUCCGCCCUUUUCCCACCCUUUUCCACCCUUUUUUCCUCCCUUUUCCCUCCCUUUUUCCACCCUUUUUUCACCCUUUUCCCACCCUUUUUUCACCCUUUUUUCACCCUUUUCCCACCCUUUUCCCACCCUUUUCCCACCCUUUUUCACCCUUUUCCCAUCCUUUUUUCACCCUUUUCCCCACCCUUUUUCCACCCUUUUCCCGUCCUUUCCCCACCUUCCCCCCCCCCUUUUUCCACCCUUUUUUCACCCUUUUUCCUCCCUUUUUCCACCCUUUUUCACCCUUUUCCACCCUUUUUCCACCCUUUCCCCACCUUUUUCACCCUUUUUCCACCCUUUUUCCUCCCUUUCCCCACCCUUUUCCCACCCUUUUUUCACAUUUUUCCCCACCCUUUUUUCACCCUUUUCCCACCCUUUUCCCACCCUUUUUUCACCCUUUUUUCACCCUUUCCCCACCCUUUCCCCACCCUUUUCCCACCCUUUUCCCACCCUUUUCCCACCCUUUUCCCACCUUUUUCCCCACCCUUUUUUCCCCUUUUUCCCCACCCUUUUUUCACCCUUUUCCCACCCUUUUCCACCCUUUUUUCACCCUUUUCCCACCCUUUUCCCCCAUUUUUUUCCUCCCUUUUCCCUCCCUUUUUCCACCCUUUUUUCACCCUUUUCCCACCCUUUUUUCACCCUUUUUUCACCCUUUUCCCACCCUUUUCCCACCCUUUUUUCACCCUUUUUUCACCCUUUUCCCCACCCUUUUUCCACCCUUUUCCCGUCCUUUCCCCACCUUCCCCCCCCCCUUUUUCCACCCUUUUUUCACCCUUUUUCCUCCCUUUUUCCACCCUUUUUCACCCUUUUCCCACCCUUUUUCCACCCUUUUUCCUCCCUUUUCCCACCCUUUUUCCUCCCUUUUCCCACCCUUUUCCCACCCUUUUUUCACCCUUUUUUCACCCUUUUCCCACCCUUUUCCCACCCUUUUCCCACCCUUUUCCCACCCUUUUUUCACCCUUUUUUCACCCUUUUCCCACCCUUUUCCCACCCUUUUCCCACCCUUUUUUCACCCUUUUCCCCAUCCUUUUUUCACCCUUUUCCUACCCUUUUUUCACCCUUUUUCCACCCUUUUUCCACCCUUUUUCACCCUUUUCCACCCUUUUACCUCCCUUUUUCCACCCCUUUUUCACCCUUUCCCGCCCUUUUUUCACCCUUUUCCCACCCUUUUUCCACCCUUUUUCCCACCCUUUUCCCCCCUCUUUUCCACCCUUUUCCCACCCUUUUCCCACCCUUUUCCCACCCUUUUCCCACCCUUUUUUCACCCUUCCCCCCCCCUUUUUUCACCCUUUUUCCACCCUUUUUCCACACUUUUUCCACCCUUUUCCCACCCUUUUUUCACCCUUUUCCCCGCCUUUUUCCACCCUUUUCCCACCCUUUUCCCACCCUUUUUUCACCCUUUUCCCACCUUUUUUCCACCCUUUUUUCACCCUUUCCCCCCCCUUUUUCCACCCUUUUUCCACCCUUUUCCCACCCUUUUUUCACCCUUUUCCCACCCUUUUCCCACCCUUUCCCACCCUUUCCCACCCUUUUCGCUGGACGCGGCCGCUCGCGGGAUCAAAGGGGGCGCGGGGGCCUCCGGGGGUGGGUGGGGGACGGGACCUUGGCCAAAGCAGCGGCCAAAUCCCGGCCCCUCUCCCUGCCCCAUCCCUCCGGGAUGCGAUCCCACGGCGUGGGGGAGAGGGAGGGAGGGAGGGAGGAGGCACCUGGAAUGCUGAGAUUCCAUGGCGGGGUCCCAUUCCAACCCCCCCUCCCCAAAAUCUGGGUGCUGCCUGCGCCUGGGUGCUCCUUAUCCCGGAUUCUCCUUAUCCUGGGUGUUCCGUAUCCCUGGAUUUUCCCUGUCCCGGGUGUUCCUUAUCCCUGGAUUCUCCCUGUCCCGGGUGUUCCUUAUCCCUGGAUUCUCCCUGUCCUGGGUGUUCCUUAUCCCGCAUUUUCCCUGUCCUGGGUGUUCCUUAUCCCGCAUUUUCCCUGUCCGGGGUGUUCCUUAUCCUGGAUUCUCCCUGUCCCGGGUGUUCCUUAUCCCUGGAUUCUCCCUGUCCUGGGUGUUCCUUAUCCCGCAUUUUCCCUGUCCUGGGUGUUCCUUAUCCUGGAUUCUCCCUGUCCCGGGUGUUCCGUAUCCCUGGAUUCUCCCUGUCCUGGGUGUUCCUUAUCCCGCAUUUUCCCUGUCCCGGGUGUUCCUUAUCCCGGAUUCUCCUUAUCCUGGGUGCUGUUUUUUCCUGGGUCCUGCUUUUCCCCGCAUCCCGAUUUUCCCCGGGUGCCAGGAAUUGUCCCCACCGGGCUCCGCGUCCCAUUCCCAGGGAAACCCGCGGGAUGCUCCCAAGGCAGCGGGAGGGGAAGGGCCGGGAUCCGGGAUCCUGUGGGAAUGCGGGAAUGUGGGAAUCUGGGAAUGUGGGAAUGCGGGAAUGCGGGAGUGUGGGAAUGUGGGAAUGCGGGAAUCUGGGAAUGCGGGAAUGCGGGAAUGCGGGAAUCCGGGAAUGUGGGAAUCUGGGAUCCUGUGGGAAUCUGGGAUCCUGUGGGAAUAUGGGAUCCUGUGGGAAUGCGGGAAUCUGGGAAUCCGGGAUCCUGUGGGAAUGUGGGAAUGCGGGAAUGCGGGAUCCUGUGGGAAUGCGUGAAUCUGGGAAUGCGGGAAUGUGGGAAUGCGGGAAUGCGGGAAUGUGGGAAUCUGGGAAUGCGGGAUCCUGUGGGAAUGUGGGAAUGUGGGAAUGCGGGAAUGCGGGAAUGUGGGAAUCUGGGAAUGCGGGAUCCUGUGGGAAUGUGGGAAUGCGGGAAUGCGGGAAUGCGGGAAUCUGGGAAUCUGGGAAUGUGGGAAUGUGGGAAUGCGGGAGUGUGGGAAUGUGGGAAUGCGGGAGUGUGGGAAUGCGGGAAUGUGGUAAUGCGGGAAUGCGGGAAUGUGGGAAUCUGGGAAUGCGGGAAUGCGGGAAUACGGGAAUGCGGGAAUGUGGGAAUGCGGGAGUGUGGGAAUGUGGGAAUCUGGGAAUGUGGGAAUGCGGGAAUGUGGGAAUGCGGGAGUGUGGGAAUCUGGGAAUGUGGGAAUGCGGGAAUGCGGGAAUGUGGGAAUGUGGGAAUCUGGGAAUGUGGGAAUGCAUUCCGCCACCUGCUUGGCUUGGGGCGGGGCAGAGGGAAGCGGCUCCCGCUGCUAUUCCUGGAGCCGGGAAGGAAAACUGGGGGGGGAAAGGCGAAAAAAGGGGGGGAAACGGCAAAAAAAAAGAAGGAAAAAGAGGGGAAAGGGGGGGAAAAAGGGGGAAAAAGCGAAAAAUGAGAAUUGGGAUGGGAAAGGCUCAGCUGCUCCUUUCCCCCCCUCCUCCAGGCCCCAUUCCAAGCGGGAAUAGCAGAGCAGGGAAGGGAACGGGAGCCCGGAGCCGGCAGCUCCCGGCCCGCCCCGGUAAUUUGGGAUGGCCAGAUCCCAAAAAAAGAAAGAAAAAAAAAAAGAUGGGAAGAGGAUGCGCCAGCACGAGCAGGGAUGGAGAGGCUUUUUUUGGGAUAUUCCCUCUCUCCUCCCACAGCAUCCCCCCAAAAAAACCCCUAAAAACCCCACAGGGAAGCGGGAACUGGGGAAAAGGGGGUUCCAGCACCCCGUGAUCCCAAAUCCAUGAGCGCAGCCGGGAAUAAGGAGCUGGGGAAGGACCUCGGGAAGAGGAUUUUUGGGUUGGUUUUGUUUUUUUCUUCGGAAGAAUGGAAAAUGUAAUGACAGGGUCUGGAUGAAAAGAACAAA
ensembl:lncRNA